rnacentral:rRNA from 1 species
GGAAAGUUUUUCGGUGGGGGAUGGGCUCGCGGCCUAUCAGCUUGUUGGUGGGGUGAUGGCCUACCAAGGCUUCGACGGGUAGCCGGCCUGAGAGGGCGACCGGCCACACUGGGACUGAGACACGGCCCAGACUCCUACGGGAGGCAGCAGUGGGGAAUAUUGCACAAUGGGCGAAAGCCUGAUGCAGCGACGCCGCGUGAGGGAUGACGGCCUUCGGGUUGUAAACCUCUUUCAGCAGGGAAGAAGCGCAAGUGACGGUACCUGCAGAAGAAGCGCCGGCUAACUACGUGCCACAGCCGCGGUAAUACGUAGGGCGCAAGCGUUGUCCGGAAUUAUUGGGCGUAAAGAGCUCGUAUGCGGUCUGUCCGUCUGGUGUGAAAACCCGAGGCUCAACCUCGGCUUGCAUCGGGUACGGGCAGACUAAUUGCGGUAGGGGAGACUGGAAUUCCUGGUGUAGCGGUGGAAUGCGCAGAUAUCAGAGGAACACCGAUGGCGAAGC